rnacentral:tRNA from 1 species
CAUUAAAUAGCUAAAAGUUAGCCCCGGUCUCUUAAACCGAUUAUGAUGACUCAGCGCCCAUCUUUAAUGA